GACCUGUUUUCUGAACUGUCACCGGAUGGUGGCGUGCUUGGGACACCCAAGAUAGGAAAUGGGUCGCUU
rnacentral:sRNA from 12 species